GAUUGAACGCUGGCGGCAGGCUUAACACAUGCAAGUCGAACGGUAACAGGAGAAAGCUUGCUUUCUUGCUGACGAGUGGCGGACGGGUGAGUAAUGCUUGGGAAUCUGGCUUAUGGAGGGGGAUAACGACGGGAAACUGUCGCUAAUACCGCGUAGAGUCGAGAGACGAAAGUGCGGGACCGCAAGGCCGCAUGCCAUAGGAUGAGCCCAAGUGGGAUUAGGUAGUUGGUGGGGUAAAGGCCUACCAAGCCGACGAUCUCUAGCUGGUCUGAGAGGAUGACCAGCCACACCGGGACUGAGACACGGCCCGGACUCCUACGGGAGGCAGCAGUGGGGAAUAUUGCGCAAUGGGGGCAACCCUGACGCAGCCAUGCCGCGUGAAUGAAGAAGGCCUUAGGGUUGUAAAGUUCUUUCGGUAUUGAGGAAGGUUGUUGUGUUAAUAGCACGACAAAUUGACGUUAAAUACAGAAGAAGCACCGGCUAACUCCGU
rnacentral:rRNA from 1 species